rnacentral:rRNA from 1 species
CAGUCGCCACGGGAAUACGGAAGGUCCGGGUGUUAUCCGGAUUUAUUGGGUUUAAAGGGAGCGUAGGCCGCAGGUUAAGUGUGUUGUGAAAAGCAGUCGCCCAACGUCUGCCUUGCAGCGCAAACUGUCCUGCUUGAGUGCGCACAACGCAGGCGGAAUUCGUCGUGUAGCGGUGAAAUGCUUAGAUAUGACGAAGAACUCCGAUUGCGAAGGCAGCUGUCUGGGUCUUUAUCGACGCUCAAGCACGAAAGCGUGGGGAGCAAACAGGAUUAGAUACCCCUGUAGUCCCUGUCUCUUAUAA